AGCGAACGCUGGCGGCAGGCCUAACACAUGCAAGUCGAACGAACCUUUCGGGGUUAGUGGCGGACGGGUGAGUAACACGUGGGAACGUGCCUUUAGGUUCGGAAUAACUCAGGGACACUUGUGCUAAUACCGAAUGUGCCCUUCGGGGGAAAGAUUUAUCGCCUUUAGAGCGGCCCGCGUCUGAUUAGCUAGUUGGUGGAGGUAAUGGCUCACCAAGGCGACGAUCAGUAGCUGGUCUGAGAGGAUGAGCAGCCACAUUGGGACUGAGACACGGCCCAAACUCCUACGGGAGGCAGCAGUGGGGAAUCUUGCGCAAUGGGCGAAAGCCUGACGCAGCCAGGCCGCGUGAAUGAUGAAGGUCUUAGGAUUGUAAAAUUCUUUCACCGGGGACGAUAAUGACGGUACCCGGAGAAGAAGCCCCGGCUAACUUCGUG
rnacentral:rRNA from 1 species